CUCCUACGGGAGGCAGCAGUGGGGAAUAUUGCACAAUGGGCGCAAGCCUGAUGCAGCCAUGCCGCGUGUAUGAAGAAGGCCUUCGGGUUGUAAAGUACUUUCAGCGAGGAGGAAGGCGAUACGGUUAAUAACCGUGUCGAUUGACGUUACUCGCAGAAGAAGCACCGGCUAACUCCGUGCCAGCAGCCGCGGUAAUACGGAGGGUGCAAGCGUUAAUCGGAAUUACUGGGCGUAAAGCGCACGCAGGCGGUCUGUCAAGUCGGAUGUGAAAUCCCCGGGCUCAACCUGGGAACUGCAUUCGAAACUGGCAGGCUUGAGUCUUGUAGAGGGGGGUAGAAUUCCAGGUGUAGCGGUGAAAUGCGUAGAGAUCUGGAGGAAUACCGAUGGCGAAGGCAGCCAUCUGGCCUAACACUGACGCUGAGGUGCGAAAGCAUGGGGAGCAAACAGGAUUAGAUACCCUGGUAGUCCAUGCCGUAAACGAUGUCUACUAGCCGUUGGGGCCUUUGAGGCUUUAGUGGCGCAGCUAACGCGAUAAGUAGACCGCCUGGGGAGUACGGUCGCAAGACUAAAACUCAAAUGAAUUGACGGGGGCCCGCACAAGCGGUGGAGCAUGUGGUUUAAUUCGAUGCAACGCGAAGAACCUUACCUGGCCUUGACAUAGUAAGAACUUUCCAGAGAUGGAUUGGUGCCUUCGGGAACUUACAUACAGGUGCUGCAUGGCUGUCGUCAGCUCGUGUCGUGAGAUAUUGGGUUAAGUCCCGCAACGAGCGCAACCCUUUUCCUUAUUUGCCAGCGAGUAAUGUCGGGAACUUUAAGGAUACUGCCAGUGACAAACUGGAGGAAGGCGGGGACGACGUCAAGUCAUCAUGGCCCUUACGGCCAGGGCUACACACGUGCUACAAUGGUCGGUACAAAGGGUUGCUACACAGCGAUGUGAUGCUAAUCUCAAAAAGCCGAUCGUAGUCCGGAUUGGAGUCUGCAACUCGACUCCAUGAAGUCGGAAUCGCUAGUAAUCGCGGAUCAGAAUGCCGCGGUGAAUACGUUCCCGGGCCUUGUACACACCGCCCU
rnacentral:rRNA from 1 species